rnacentral:rRNA from 1 species
UACAGAGGUCUCGAGCGUUGUUCGGAAUUACUGGGCGUAAAGGGCGCGUAGGCGGCCGCCUAAGUCAGACGUGAAAUCCCAAGGCUCAACCUUGGAACUGCCUUUGAUACUGGGGAUCUUGAGUCCGGGAGAGGUGAGUGGAACUGCGAGUGUAGAGGUGAAAUUCGUAGAUAUUCGCAAGAACACCAGUGGCGAAGGCGGCUCACUGGCCCGGUACUGACGCUGAGGUGCGAAAGCGUGGGGAGCAAACAGG